AUAGUUUUUAAAAUGAUACAUCAACAUAUAAUUUUCUUACUGAAAUCCUUAUUCUAAGAUAAUAAUCUGUAAAUUAAACACAAUUUAUUAAAGUUUUAGUCCAUAAAAAUGGGGAUUGAGAAGACUUGAAUAUUGACAUCAAAUGGUAUUUUCAACAGUAUUUCUUUUUACAUGUUUAGGCUGAUAAUUAAAAGUGUACAUUAUGAAAAUAUAUAUUCCAAUUAAUAUCAUAAUAAAUGAUUGCGUAUCAUUAAAUAAAGGGUAAAUAGUCUAUAUUAAUUAUUACAACUCAUUUGUUUGGGAAAAUGAUUAAGAAAAAUAAAGGAGUACAUUUUUUAUUAAUGGUGAUGGGGUGCUUACUUUUGAGAAGCAAUAACAAUGAAAGUAGCAUGACAACAUGUAUAUUUUUCAAUGUCUAUCUAUUACUGGAAAAUAUAUCUAUCAUAUGAAGGCAAUUUUUUCAUGAUUGAGUCCAUUUAAGGCCGAGUAUUAGAUCUACCUUAAUGGCCUGGAACAGUAAAACAGAUGGUUUCAACAGUUUAAAACAGACAGAUGGUACGUACUUAAGUAACUUAUUACUCAGAUAUACUUGCCAUUUCUUCAGAUGACAUGCAUAAUGAGUUUCUUUUACAAAAUUUUAUAUGAAAUUGCAUGCCAAUGCAUUAUAUGUGUAUUUGUUUUUUUCUUUAUAGACCAAAAGCCAAUGCAUUUUCCCUGGAUAUGAAAGCUUUUUAUUGAUUGUGCUUUAACAAUGUAGACAUUCAAUGACUGCAUGAUGGUGAAAUUGGCAACAGAUUUUUUUUGCUGUUCAUCUGACUCAAUUAACAUACCAGAUGCAGUUGUUGAAGACCGACUUUGAAAGAUAUUCUGUGGACAUUAUGGAGUUAACAGAAGACUGAGGUGGAGGAACAUGAAGCACAGGGCGGCAGUCGUCGGAUGUAAGGCAAAUCAUUUAUAGACAGGACAGAGGACGCAGCUCGGAUGAAUCUCCGGAAAGAACUGACAUCACAGAGAAUGUGGAAGUGCAUGAAGUAGGUUUUCAACGAUGCCUCGCUUCGAUGCCCCGACAUAAACUUGGAAACCGACAUCUCAUCAUGGGUACUGUGGCACAGAAGCAGUGUGGUGUGUAGGUCUUAAUGCACUUUGACGACUUAUCGGCCAUAAAUCCUGUGAAUGACCUUUUUGCUAAAGCCUAAUGUCAUCGUCUAGCAGUAGGUACAAUUCCGCAUCGCCAAUGAUCAGGGUGUAGCUGUAGCAGAUGAAAUUUUAGACAUAUAUUAAUUAGUAAGACAUUGUUUUACAGAAAUGCUUUUAUCAAUUAUUGAGUCCAUGCACUGCUUGGAAUACAAAUACAUUUUGUGAUGUCGAUUUCAUCUAUUGAUAGACUUCUGUAGUAAGUGAGAGCGAUUGCUAGAUGUGUAUUGCCUUAGUAAAAGUAUUACAUGUAACCUACUUUUAACAAAUGUUCAUACGCACAGCCGUGACCUCUGUUGACCUCCUAUAGGUAUUUAUACAGUGAUAAAUACGUAUUGCUCAUAAUAGUGUUAUAUAGGAGAAAACAGUUGAAAAUGUAAAUAUAUGGCAUUAAGCUUGGAAAAAAUGUGGAAAAGACUAAUAAGAAUAAUGUGUUAGUGUUAGAUAGUUUGCACUCAUUUAAAAGCUAACUAUAAUAUGGACCCCAUGUGGACUAAAAUCUGUUUAUUAUAC